rnacentral:rRNA from 1 species
ACUCAAAUGUAUAGACGGGGGCCCGCACAAGCGGAGGAACAUGUGGUUUAAUUCGAUGAUACGCGAGGAACCUUACCUGGGCUUAAAUGUGGAGUGCAUUGGUGAGAAAUCAUCAUUUUCUUCGGAACUCUCUGCAAGGUGCUGCAUGGUUGUCGUCAGCUCGUGCCGUGAGGUGUCGGGUUAAGUCCCAUAACGAGCGCAACCCUUAUCGUUAGUUGCCAGCGGGUCAAGCCGGGGACUCUAGCGAAACUGCCGGUGUAAACCGAGAGGAAGGUGGGGAUGACGUCAAAUCAGCACGGCCCUUAUGUCCAGGGCUACACACGUGUUACAAUGGCCGGUACAGAGGGCAGCUACCUGGAGACAGGAUGCGAAUCUCGAAAGCCGGUCUCAGUUCGGAUCGGAGUCUGCAACUCGACUCCGUGAAGCUGGAUUCGCUAGUAAUCGCGCAUCAGCCACGGCGCGGUGAAUACGUUCCCGGGCCUUGCACACACCGCCCGU